UCUCCCCUUUCAGUCCCCUGACUCAUGGGCUCAAUGCCCCCUCAUGGGCUUUCCUCAUACUCCUCAGAGCCCCCACCCCAGUCUCUCCUAUCAAUCCCACCGUGGAUGUCCCCUCUCAGUCUCUCCCUGUGCCGUCCUCAGUUUUCCCUCACAGUUACAUUUCCAGUCUGCCUUGUCAGUCUCACCAUGGAUGUCCCCUCUCAAUGCCCCCUUCACAAUCAUCCCCCUCACAGUCUCCCUUCUCAGUUUCCCCACAGUCACCUCUCAGCUUCCCCCCCCAGUCCCACAGAGAUGAUCUCUCUCAAUGUCCUCCUCAGAGUGUCUCUCUCCAUUUUUUCCUCUCAGUCACCUCCUGCAAUUUCCCCUCUCAGUCCCACUGUGGACAUUCCUCUCAAUGUCCCCCUCACAACACCCCCUCCCAAGCUCCCCCUCAGUGCCCCCAAUUUCCCCCAUGCCCUCAGAGCAGCCACACAUGAGGGCAAAUGUCCCAUUGGAGCUGACCCACUCUCAGGCACUAGCAUCAAACCCAGCCUCGCUUUACAAACGCUUUCUGCUCUGUCUAGACAGACUUCCCCAGCCCAAAACAGGUUUAGAAGACUGGAGAUCAUGUAGUUCCAUGGAUUUCCAUACUGGUUCCCAACCUGAGAAUCAGGUCCUAUGAGCCCCGGUGACGUGUGUGGCAGCAGAGCUCCUUGUACCCAAACGGGUUGCUUGGGGCUGUUUUCAUCACCUUCAUGGUGGAAUGUCCUCCAAGGGCAGCCACAAUGGGAGGAGAGGCUGGAGAAGAUCUGGACACAAUUCUGGAUGUGCUGACGAGCUCCAUAAGCUGAGAUGGAUUCAACAGCAAUAAUUUAUUGGUUUAAAGGAGAUCUAUAAUGACAGAUUCCUUUGCAAAGAGACACGGUGAACUGGCUGGCAGGUCGUGUGAUGAGAAGGAAUCUGCCCCGGGACACCGUGAAGAGCUGGGAUCUUCUGCCUGCUGUUUGUCGUGGCAAAGGGGAGAUGCCUGCAUUCAGCUGCUGCUGAAACCAGGAAUGCCAGCUCAAAACCUGGAACAUCAGCUUGGGACGAUGCUGCUCUGAUGCCGCUGUGGCUGAAGAGACUCAACCCCACAUCCUCGGCCAGCCAGAUCACGUGCCAAGGGCUGCGGCUGAAGCAGGGUUGGAGCAAAAAUACGAAAGCAAAAACGAUUUGGAGUUGACACAGUGUAUUGUGAAUUACUUCUCAGCUUUUCUACAUCUAAGAGAGCAUGAAAUGAUCGGCCGUA